rnacentral:tRNA from 1 species
AGAGGGACUCCAGUACGAGAACUGCUAAUUCUAGUACCCGGAACUAAGCCCCCGGCCCUCUUACU